UUUUUAUAACUUGAGCUCGUGAAAAGCUUGAGUUGUGAAGGAAAAAAAAAUCUUGAUAAGAUUUGUGAUGGUUUGUGCAUUAUGAGUGUCAUGGUUGAUUUAAGAUUACUUCUGGUUGUAGUCAUUAUUGAUUCAGAAAGUUAUCUUGGUUAUGUGAGAAAAGAUUUGUCAUGAUGAUUGUGUUAGGAUCUAAUGGAUUUGAAUUUGAGUUGGGUUUAUGAGUUAGUUUAUUGCCUGAUUAUCACUCUUGA
rnacentral:misc_RNA from 1 species